rnacentral:rRNA from 1 species
UGGUGGAGUGAUUUGUCUGGUUAAUUCCGUUAACGAACGAGACCUCAGCCUGCUAAAUAGUUGCGUGAACCUUCUAUACGGGUGAAUGGUAAGUGUGGUGUGGCAGCUUGCUGUUGCAUCUACUUAUUUGGAUCCUUGAUGAGUUCAUGAAUAUACUUCUUAGAGGGACUAUUAGUAUCUAGCUAAUGGAAGUUUGAGGCAAUAACA